rnacentral:rRNA from 2 species
GUGCGAGACCGAUAGCGAACAAGUACCGUGAGGGAAAGAUGAAAAGAACUUUGAAAAGAGAGUUAAAGAGUACCUGAAACUGCUGAAAGGGAACCGAAUCGUUUCCAGUGUCUAUAAUCUAUGGUAUAUUUCAUUGGCGAGUGAGUGCGUGCAGCGUUUUGGAAGCGGUCUCCGCUCCUGUCGUUGUUGUGCAUUUGCUUGCUGGUGCCCUGUGCUGUGGUGGGACGUCAGAGUCAGUUUGUAUGUUGCGGGAAAUGGUUAUCAGGGAGGUAGGUCGCUUCGGUGGCUGUUAUAUCCUGGUAACUAGUCGUCGUGGCUGAGACUGAGGUGCCUACAACGCGCUUUCGAGUCUGCGGGCUUCUCGUGUGGCUGUUUGCUUUGAUAGCUUGCUAUGUUGGUGAAUAAGUCGUGCGAUUGAGACCUGUAGUAACUUGUUGCUGUUCGGGACUUUG